rnacentral:rRNA from 1 species
UGGGGAAUUUUGGACAAUGGGCGAAAGCCUGAUCCAGCAAUGCCGCGUGUGUGAAGAAGGCCUUCGGGUUGUAAAGCACUUUUGUCCGGAAAGAAAUCCUUGGCUCUAAUACAGUCGGGGGAUGACGGUACCGGAAGAAUAAGCACCGGCUAACUACGUGCCAGCAGCCGCGGUAAUACGUAGGGUGCAAGCGUUAAUCGGAAUUACUGGGCGUAAAGCGUGCGCAGGCGGUUUGCUAAGACCGAUGUGAAAUCCCCGGGCUCAACCUGGGAACUGCAUUGGUGACUGGCAGGCUAGAGUAUGGCAGAGGGGGGUAGAAUUCCACGUGUAGCAGUGAAAUGCGUAGAGAUGUGGAGGAAUACCGAUGGCGAAGGCAGCCCCCUGGGCCAAUACUGACGCUCAUGCACGAAAGCGUGGGGGAGCAAAACAGGAUUAGAUACCCUGGUAGUCCACGCCCUAAAACGAUGUCAACUAGUUGUUGGGGAUUCAUUUCCUUAGUAACGUAGCUAACGCGUGAAGUUGACCGCCUGGGGGAGUACGGUCGCAAAGAUUAAAAACUCAAA